rnacentral:tRNA from 1 species
UCCCUGGUAGCUCAGAUGGUAAAGUGUCUGCCUACAACGUGGGAGAUCCAGGUUCGAUCCCUGGGUCGGGAA